UAUGUCUGCAUGCAACCACUCAGAGCAAGGGUUAAGGUAGGACAGUCGUUUUUUUGGAGGAACACCGAGGCCUUUCCAGUUUUCAACAGGGUCUUCCUCCACUGAUUGUUGCUUAACCUCUGUGUCCUGCUCACUAUGGGCAGUUUGUGUCUUCUGAUUCUUUGUCUCAAUGUGCUCUGUUAUCUUCACCGGUGCAGAGGAAAGCCUCAUGUUUCCCUCAAGAAACUCAAGCCUCAACAUUUGCAGAGCUUGCUGUGUUGUGUGCGCUUUUAAAGUGUGGAACCAUCACAGCUGUCCAAAGAGAUCUGUGUGGAGUGUCUCCUCGACUCCGGUCACCUCUGUUAAUUGGUCAUCUUCAGAGACACAUGGCAAGACCCCCUCUGCAAAUCGUCUCUUCAAUUGUGCUUUGCAUGUUUCCGAGACAACAGGUAAACCUUUGUCAUCGUUUCCUUCUGAUUCACUGAAGGCAACAACUGCAAUUGAAUGAAUGAGCUCCUUUGCAUCUUCCAGUGUAUCAGACUGUAAAAGUUGUGCCAUGGCUCGUAGAUAGAAUUCUCUUACUCUGUUUCCUUUUUGUCUAAGGCAUUCCCACCGGCUAAUGAGCUUGAUGCAGUGUGCAACAUCUACUCUGAUGAAGCAAGGUGGGAGCUUUGAGUCUUCGGGCUUCCUUGUCAGCACUCCAAAGCACUGAUUGAUGUACGUUUUCAAGUCUGGGUAAGGAGUGAAGGCCUUAACCAGUGCUCCAAGCAAAGCCAAGGAGAAAUCACAGACCGCCUCUUUGGGCACAGCAGCACCUGCUCGUUGCCAUUCAUUGAGCCAGUUGGCAAUAGAAUUGAUGGUGUGGCUCUCUGAUAGCAUUUGCACUACUUGAAUAUGAUCUCCCUGUGAACACAAAACUCCUUGAUACAGGAAGACAUGUCCAGAAUUGCCACAGGGUCUUCUCAGUCUUUUCACAACUGUACCUGUUGCAUCAAAGCUCACAAAUGAGCCAGAGUACUUGGAUUUCAUUUGAUACACUUGCAGCUGAGAUGGGGUCCAGUAAUGGCAAAAAAAACUUAUCAAGGCCUAUGUCGUGAAUGCUUCCAUUGUGGGGUACACUGUAUUUUAGUAGAUGUAGUGACAUGAUUGGGUCUUUGUCUCCGAGCUCUUUGUCACCCAUCUCUUGUUUGGCUUUUCUUAAUGUUGCCAGAUUUGGCAGGUGGCUAGGCUCUGGGUCACCAACAUCCAUCAUUUUGUAAGCCUCGGCUGCUCGCCAUACAUGUGCUGGUUUUCGGCCUUCCCAGAGUUCUUUAGACACACUUGUUCUCAGAUCCCCUGAUAACUUCCGUUUUGCUUUGCCAGUAUGGAGACUGUCAUCAACAUUGCGGAUUAUGCAUUGAAGCACAACUGGUUCAUUAUCCACUGGCAUGUUCUCUGCUGUUAUAGACAAUUGUGCGUCACACUCUGUGCAGUUCCCAAUUAUGUCUAUGUAGUGAGAUGCAACAUUUGGAAAAAUCUUUGCCCUCCUGAAUCUAAGAGUGCAUGAGGUUUUGAUAUUUUUCCAUAUCUCCUCAUACAGGACGUGUGUCCAUGCACCACGUUUCAGGAUGGUGUAUUCUCUUUUACAUGUGCUGAGUGAUUUGUCAUUGUAAUCAACCUUUUCAGGCCAGAUUUCUACCCAUCUCUGAUGAGAGAGACUGAUCUCAAAUUGAAUGUCGUAGCAUUGACUUUGCUGAUUUGUGUCUGCCUUUGACACAACUGAAUGAAAAUCAGCUGAGCUUUCUUGUGAGCUGUCACUGUUUGGACCUUGAUCUUGGAUAUCUGUGUCGGUUUUGCUGAGCUCAAGGAUUUGCCAUAUAUUGUGCCUGUUUGUCUUGACAAUAGUAUAAAGGUUCUUUGGUGAAACUUUGUUGUUUAGUUGUUUGCUUAAAUUUGCCCACACCUUUUCUGUAGGAACUGCUAUGUUUGUCCCUGUAAUAAUCUGUUCCUUUGCAGCACUGAUGACUUUGAUGAUGUCAUCACAUCCACAGGCUGGUUUCCUAGGCAUCUGAUCAAAACAGGAAUAAUUUUUAAUGUAGUUUUUAAUAAAGUAGUUG